GCAGGGAGAAGGGCUCUUGACUCUGUGGCAGUGUGGCCACGUUUCCAUGUGUCCAUGUGUCCAUGUGGGCUGCUGUAGGCCCUGGCUCACUGGUCCCAGGACCUGUGGCUAAAAGGAGGCAUUGCUGGAGGCCUCUCUUGAGAGGUGGGUACGUGGGCCAUGCUGCCUAUGCCCUCCUCAGGUCCCCAGAAGGAGCACUUCCAAGGGGUGCUGAGUCGGGGGAGGUGGGCAGGAAAAGAUGCCAGGGAAAGUUCUGAGCCCAGGUAGGAGUGACAGUGAUGUGUGGUGGAGAUCCUACAGCCAAACGAGGAGCAGUUAACAAUGCCACUUCAAAAACAGCGCCUGAGGCUCAGAAAGAAGGUGUAUCUUGCCAACCAUCACACAGCAAGUCACCAGCAGAGCUGAGACCAGAACCCAAGCUCCUGGUCCAGGGCUCAGUCAUUGAUUGUUCCAGCCACACGUGGCUGGUGCCAGGGGCCCGUCCGGUCUACUCCCUGCGGUGACUCUUUCUCCUGCCUCCCAACUCCAGAAAAGGAUCCUGCUGGGGAGCCUGGGGUGAGAUCCCAAGAGCCUUUCCGUGUGGACGUGGACAUAGUGGGGUAGGUCGAGAGACCAAAGCAGGAUUCUAACAGGCCUGGACAUAUGUCAUGGGCCAUCAAGACCAUCUGCAUGAAGGUCUUUUGCUACAGAAGUGAGGUGGCUUUUUGCAGCUGCUCAGGAGAACAAUCUGGCGUAGAAGUGGGAAGGUAAGUCUGGGUCUUUCUGGAGUACGAUUGGCCCUUGACCAGUCUCAGGGACGUGUGUCCAGGCCCUGUGAGGAGAGGGACCACAGGCAGAAGGGGCAGGAGUGUUGGAGCCAGCCAAUGGAGCUUUGAGUCCUAGGUGGGGUGUGGUUCCCAGUGGAGGCCUUCCCCCAUCUUCUCAGAACCCAGCAUGGCUUCAGCACUGUGUGGAUGACAGGGAGCUGACUUUGUAACUUUGGAGGAGAUUGGGAAACAAGGCCCUUUGGGCAGAGGACAUCACAAGGGGCCCAGAGAUGGAGAGGAACAAAUCCUGCGGCUCUGCCUGCUCCCUGUCCCCUGCACUUCACUUCCCCUCACCUGCCCAAAGACAGAUCCAAGCUAGAGGCCUGGUCAGGCCCUGGAGAAAAGCUGGGGGGUUCGGGAGGAGAGGGUGGAGCAAGAUUGGCCCACACUACAUUGCCUUCCCCGCAUCCUCGCUUGCACCUGCCAGGGCCUGCAUGAGCCUCCUCAAGGGCCUGGGCUCAGGACCCCAGAGCCAGCAAGGAGCCCUGCGCUCCAUUUCUGUGUGGCUGGCCUGGGAAAGGCCUCUGUCUCCUCCGCUGUAAAAUGGCAUGUGGAGGGGGAGAGGGAGGCCAGGACUACGCCCACGUGGGUCCCUCCUCAUAGACCCAGCCUGCCUUCCCAGCUCGAGCCCCUGAGACAGCCCCCAUUCGUCUCCCCUUUUCAGCGGACCACCUCGUUCCACGUUCUAAGAUCAAACUCUUGGUACUUGGGAAGGACCUUAGAAAGCAGCUGAUGUGCCGUGUCUGUUGUUCAGAUGGGGACAGUGAAGCACAGGGAGGUUUGGCCUUGCCCCUCUAGGGAGUCUGUAGCAGCGCUAAGACCAGGGCCCUGUGCUCUGGUGUCAGGCCUGCUCUCCCCUACCCCUUGGCGCUUCUGAGCAGGAGGCAGACAGCAUUUUCUCUGAUCUGAGCAGGGGGCGUGGGGGUGGGGGUGGCUGCCUCCUCCCUCAGGGGCCCCAGGCUAGUCCAGACAGGCUCGGCAGGAAUCUGCUCUGGUUGGAGCCGCCUCCCUGAGGGCUGCCCCAGGCGGGGCCCGGGGCCUCGAGGUCCUGGGGACGUGCUUUCUGUUUACUUUCUGCCGGGCUUCCACAGCGUUGUGGUUUCCACUUGGAAGGGCUGCAGUGGGAACUGAGGGGCCUGCUCCGGGGGCUGAGCUGCAUCUGUGGGAAAGCCCUGCAGCCGCUCUGCUGCUGAAAGUUUGGAAUUCAGCAGACCCCAUCCCUGAAUUCCCAUGCGGUGGGCUCAGCCCUGGCUCUUCCAGCUACUGGCUCUACCCGGGCCAGUUUAGAGUGAGAGGGUGGCCAGAUCCUCCUGGGGGGACCAGAGAAUGGGGCGUUGGAAGACCUAGGUUGGAGCCUCACCUCUGCCCUAUCUUCGCUGUGUGACCUUGAGCAGGUCACUCUAACUCUUGCCGCCUCAGCUUCCUAACAGCGCCCCUGCCCGGCCUCUCUUGCAGGCCCACAGAAUGAAAAGAGAGGAGUUCCAGGAAAGGGUUUGGCAGAUGGCAUCCCUGCAGGACUGCCUCGCGGCGCUCUGCCCCAUCCAGCCCCUACGUACUGGCCAUGUGACCUCAAUGUUUGAUGGACUCACUUGGCCUCUCUGAGGCUCGCUUUCUCCAUCUCUAAAAUGGAGGAUGAAGCAGGUUCAGCCCCACGGGCAGGCAGCACUAUGCCAGGGACAUGGCGAGCCCUCUGGAAAAGUUCACCUGAUCCAGACGUUGCUGGGUCAACGGGAAGGAAUGACUUUCACUCCUCUGCUUCAAACCACCAGACUGUCCUUGGCCCUCCCUAAUGAAGGAGCAGAGAACAGCAGAGUGGGCAGGGACCUUGGAGGUCAGCAGGGUGGCUGCUCAGCCCAGAGGCAACCGGGAGCUCGUCCCAGGGUGUGACAAUUCAGUCAGCCCUUUACUGAACACUCGGCUUUAAACCGCCUCAUGCCUGGCAUGAGGAAGGCACCGUGCUGGAGGGUUUCACCACGGUUCUCUGUGUGUCUCCGGGGAGCUCACUGUCCUGUCUGAGGCCCGUCCGGGGUCCGGACAGUGGAGCUUUCAGGUUCGUGCGCACCCUCUGCCUGCCUCUUCUCCCUGUCAGUAAGGACGUGGGUGUGGCUGGGAGGCAGAUCCUGGGUGGAGAACGGAGCUCCUGGUUCUGAACAGUUUGAGGGUCUGGAAGUCCUUUAAGAAGAUGGUGAAAACUAUGGACCUUCUCCCCAAAGAGAAGCACACAUCCACAUCCAGAGGCAAAAACCCCAUCGCUCAGAACCCCGUGGAUGAGGCAGUCAUUAUCCAGUGGUGCUGUCACUAUGGCUGGGGCUGGCCUUGAUCUCUGUUGCUGGAUUCCACAUGUUCAUUCUCUCUGGCCACAUUAUCAGAUCUCUAGCUCCAACAUCCUGUGUGAUACCAGGAUGGCCAUUGCCAUGAUCUUGUCCACGGGUCCACUUUCAGCAGCUGGGCCCUGGAGGGCAGCACACAGCUCAUGAUUGGGUUGGAGAUGGGGGAGUCAGGGGCAGAUGGUGGGAGCUGUCCCCAGCCCUGCCUCUCUUAGGACCCUCCUGGGACUCAGGUACAUAGGGUCCCUGAGAAAGACCCAGUUUGAUGAGACAGGCAGGAGGAAUAAGGAAGAGUGUAGUUUAAGAAAGUUUUCUCCAGCUCUGGUUCAUGCAUCCGUCCUGAAAGAAGGCAGGGAAAGGAUUAUUCACCCAUUUCACAGAUGAAGAAAUUGAGGCUUGGAGAGGUCACGGAGCACACAGAGCAAAGAAGUCAAAACCAGGAUUUGAAUCUACUCUGAUUACCUCCAGAGCCCAUGUCUUGUCCCAAUGGAUGGAAAAUUCUUAACUAUUUAACUCAAUAUUGAGCAGCUACUGUCUACAGAAUUCUGUGCCAGACAGCUUGGGAGACACAGACCUACAGGGAGAUAUAGUUCCCACUGGAAGCACCCAGGGCAGUAAUAAUUAUCAUCAUAACAAAGGAAUAAUAAUAGCUAACAUUUUGGAGCACUUACUAGGGACCAGCAUUAUGCUACACAGUUUUCAUGGAUUAUCUCAUUUAAGCUCUCAAAUAUUUUGGGGUGUAAAUAACAGUAUGCCCACAAUUUUUGUUUGUUGUUGGUGUUCAGAAGUGUAUAUCCGUUUUUGAGAAUGGAGGCUCAGCGAGAUUAGGAGCCUUGCUCUCAACGAGGGAGGAAUUCUGGCUGCGACUCUGUCCCUUACUACCUGGGCAUCACCUCUGUCAAACCUGGACAGGUGCCACUUAGACCUGGCUGAGGUUGGCUGAGGCGGGGAGGAUGGGGAGGUUGUGGGUAGGCAGCACCUAUUCAUACCCACAGUCCAGGGACUGUUCCAGAAGAAUAGUAUUCCCUGUGCCCUUGCCGCCUCUGAGCCUUGGUGUCCCAGCCUUUCGAUCCUCUCACUUCUGAUGUCCUUGAGCCAUAAUCUGAGCCAUUCUCUAGGAUAAGGAGAUGCUUGAGGUUGAGUGAAAGGUUGACAUUUCUGCAGGAGCAAAGAAUGACUUGAUGCAGGAGAGAAAGGCUGUGGGGGGAAAGUGAGUGAGGCAAAUCCCCAAGGCAGAGCAGAGCCUUCCAAAGGGUGCAGGGGAGAGUCUUGGUGGAGGGGGCCAGCCUUGCUCAGCAGCCCCAACCUCAACAAGGACCCCUACCCAAGAAGGCCUGCAAAAUAGCAAAUCAAUGAAGACAGCAAUGAAAGCAAUGAGGAGGGAAGAGGGACCAGAAUCCCAGUCACAUCAUCACCCCUCACCCCUUUUUCUGGCCUCAGUUUUCCUUCUGUGAACAGAGGGAGCUGGCCCUUCUGUCAUUUGCAGGAUUUUCAUCUCAGGCUGGCAGCAGGAGCUGGAAAAGUGAGGGAGGUCCCUCCCUUCCCCGGCCCGGGGUCUGUGAUUGGCAGCACCUCCUCCUCUCUUCCUCUCCUGUCCCUUCCUUCCCCUUCCCUCCCCUGCUUUCCUUUCCCUUCCCCUCCUCCCCUUCCCUUCCCCAGUCUUCCCCUCCCACUCUUUCAAGCCCCCAGCGUGCUGUGCAGUUAUUAGUUUAGGUUCAUUUAGAAUCGGCUUAGCAACCCCACACCCCUGGAACCUGGAAGCUUAAAGCACAAGAUGUCUGGCAAAUGGAAAUUCAAUUGCUUUAAUAUAGAGACUAUUUUGCUGCAGUCGAACUGGAGCCUCUUAUUAAGAAUCUGAUGGAAUUUCUAAACAGGGAGAGAGGCCCCAAGGAGGGGGCAUCGCCCAUCACACACCAACAUUGCUCUUGACAUAUUUAUGGCUCCAAUAAAAUCUCACAUCUGGUAUAUUUUAAAAUAAAAUUGAAAAUUUAUCACUUUCCCUGAGUCGGUUUGUCGUUCUCCCAAGGAGGAGAUAGCCAGCCUGAGAUUACAGGCGAAGCGGCAGCGGGCGGCAGGCGGGCAGAGAGGUUAGGCUGGGCUCUGAUUUAAAUUUCAAUACUUUCCCCAUUACAGCUGUCUGGGCUGGGAAAAUUACUAGGGGAAGCAGGCCAUGUGCUUCUCCUAUUUCUCUGGACAUCUACUUGGCUGUCUCUGCCAGGGUCCACAGACUUGGUCUGCUCUCCCCACUACUUAGCAAGGUUUGGAUGAACCACAAAAUGGGAGGAAGCCCCAUCCUCCAGGCCUAGGAAUCAGCAUCAUCCAUUUGUACCUCUCUGAAGCCCAGUGGACACCUUUGGGUGCUGCUACAUGGUUCGAGAGGGCCCCUCUUUAUCAGGACUCAGAGAUCAAGAUCAGGGCUUAGGCUCAGGUGGGGAGCAGGGUUCAGUCUGUAACUAGCAUUGGGGUUCAGUCUAAAACUAAGAUCAGAACUUCAACUCAGGCCAGGAUCAAGGAUCAGUCUGUAACCAAGGUCAGGGCUCAGGCUCAGGAUGGAAUCAAGGUUCAUUCCAUUAACAAAAACAG
rnacentral:lncRNA from 1 species